rnacentral:rRNA from 1 species
CCCUUAGAUGUUCUGGGCCGCACGCGCGCUACACUGAUGCAUUCAACAAGCCUAGCCUUGACCGAGAGGUCCGGGUAAUCUUUGAAACUGCAUCGUGAUGGGGCUAGAUUAUUGCAAUUAUUAAUCUUCAACGAGGAAUGCCUAGUAAGCGUGAUUCAUCAAAUCGCGUUGAUUACGUCCCUGCCCUUUGUACACACCGCCCGUCGCACCUACCGAUUGAAUGGUCCGGUGAAAUCUUCGGAUUGAGACUUUGUUUUCUUCACGGAAAACGCUGUUUUAAAAAGUUGAUUAAACCUUACCAUUUAGAGGAAGGUGAAGUCGUAACA